rnacentral:rRNA from 1 species
GGGCCCGCACAAGCGGUGGAGUAUGUGGUUUAAUUCGAAGCAACGCGAAGAACCUUACCAGGGCUUGACAUGGAGAUGACCGACCUAGAGAUAGGUUUUCCCUUCGGGGCAUCUCACACAGGUGGUGCAUGGUUGUCGUCAGCUCGUGUCGUGAGAUGUUGGGUUAAGUCCCGCAACGAGCGCAACCCCUAUUGUUAGUUGCUACGCAAGAGCACUCUAGCGAGACUGCCGUUGACAAAACGGAGGAAGGUGGGGACGACGUCAAAUCAUCAUGCCCCUUAUGUCCUGGGCUACACACGUACUACAAUGGCGUUUAACAGAGGGAAGCAAUACCGCGAGGUGGAGCAAAUCCCUAAAAAACGUCCCAGUUCGGAUUGCAGGCUGAAACUCGCCUGCAUGAAGUUGGAAUCGCUAGUAAUCGCGGAUCAAGCAUGCCG